rnacentral:rRNA from 1 species
CUACGUUCGCACCAGUGAGGAAUAUUGCACAAUGGGGGGAACCCUGAUGCAGCAACGCCGCGUGGAGGAUGACGCAUUUCGGUGUGUAAACUCCUUUUAUAUGUCAAGAAAAUGACGGUAGCAUAUGAAUAAGCACCGGCUAACUCCGUGCCAGCAGCCGCGGUAAUACGGAGGGUGCAAGCGUUACUCAGAAUCACUGGGCGUAAAGGACGCGUAGGCGGGUUGGAAAGUCAGGUGUGAAAUCCUACAGCUUAACUGUAGAACUGCACUUGAAACUUCUAAUCUAGAGUAUGGGAGGGGGAGAUGGAAUUAGUGGUGUAGGGGUAAACUCCGUAGAUAUCACUAGGAAUACCUAAAGCGAAGGCGAUCUCCUGGAACAUUACUGACGCUAAGGCGUGAAAGCGUGGGGAGCAAACAGGAUUAGAUACCCUCGUAGUC